CCUACGGGAGGCAGCAGUGAGGAAUAUUGGUCAAUGGGCGGGAGCCUGAACCAGCCAAGUCGCGUGAGGGACGACGGUCCUAUGGAUUGUAAACCUCUUUUGUCGGGGAAAAAAGGCGCCCACGGGUGGGCGGAUGAGUGUACCAGAAGAAAAAGCCUCGGCUAACUACGUGCCCGCAGCCGGGGUAAUACGGAGGAUGCGAGCGUUAUCCGGUUUUAUUGGGUUUAAAGGGUGCGUAGGCGGACAGUCAAGUCAGAGGUAAAAAGGCGGUGCUAACCGCCGUACAGCCGUUGAAACUGGCAGGCUUGAGUGGGGGAGAAGUAUGCGGAAUGCGUGGUGUAGCGGUGAAAUGCAUAGAUAUCACGCAGAACACCAGUGGCGAAGGCAGCAUACCGGCGCCCGACUGACGCUGAGGCACGAAAGCGUGGGUAGCGAACAGGAUUAGAUACCCCUGUAGUC
rnacentral:rRNA from 1 species